GCAAGAAUCACAGCUUUCAAAAUGGUAGUGAUAACCCCACAUAAUGUCAUUACAGGAUUGAGCAUACCAGGGAUGUUACUCCUUCCCUGGUGUGUAUGCCU
ncrna:unclassified sequences RAGATH-23 RNA